UAUUAUUGUUUAAAUUUGGGUAACAUGUUCUUCAUGAGUAUUAAAGCUACAGCGAGCUGUUCAUAGCACAAGUGAAGGAAGACACAUGGCAGGAGCCAGACUGACAGACAUGGACCGGGUUAGGGACAUGUAUGAUGGAGUUGAUCCUGCUACAAUGAAUAAACAACAAAAAGAAGCACACAGACACAGAACAGUUGAAGAAAACCCAGAUGUUCUGUAUAGGGUUUUUGAGCAGGACAGACUUCAUAUGUUGUUCUUAAGACCGACUCGUCCUGGACUGUGGAUGAGUGUGAUCCAGAGAAGGAUUACAACCAACCUGUCUUUUCAGAUGACUAAGAGACGUGCUGAAAACAAUAUCUUCAAGAUCACCAUGUCUGGUCCUCAGAAUGAACUUCAACGCUUCUGUGAUGAGUUUGAGGAGAUUAGGGAAAUGGUAAUGCUAAAUGAAGGCACAGCAGCACAAAACAACCCAGAGGAUGAUGUUGAGGAGCUCAGAGCAAGAAUCAGGGAGCUGGAACUGGAAAACAGAAGACUACGUGGGCUUCAAGAGCAUUAGAUGUGUCUCCAGACCAGGUGCACACCCGAGGCCUGUGUAUCACAGUUCCACUUUCCUCACUGCAGUGGGAGCAAAUAAAGUCCACCAUAAUCCUGAAUAAUGAAAACCGGCUUUCAUUUAGUACUGAGCUUCACAAAGAAGGAAUGAAUUUCAGUUCAUCUAAGGCUUAGGAAUAGAUUUAAACUUACUCUUCUGUUUUUGUUUUCCUUGUUUAUUUGUUUGUUUGUUUGUUUGUUUGUUUGUUUGUUUGUUUGUUUGUUUGUUUGUUUGUUUGUUUUUCAUUUGGUUUGAUUCAUUGAUUUUAUUGUAUUCAGUUUUAAAUGUUUAUUUCUCUCAUACACAACGUUGCACAUUAUGACAUGCAGAUAAAUGUUGGCCUAAAAGAAGAAUAAAAUUGUUACAAUAAAAGUAGAUGUUGGAUUAUCUGUACAAAUAAUAGUAAUAAAAUAUAAAAUAUAUAAAUAUAUUUAUAUGAAUAUGGUACAGUCAGCAAACAGUAUGACUUUGGGAAAUAAAGUUCAGAUGUUUACUAUAUUUUAUACUAUUGUAAUUACAUUUACUGUGCGAGUUAAUAAACAUUUAAUAAAGUGAUUAUUAAAACA